rnacentral:rRNA from 1 species
UGGGGAAUAUUGCACAAUGGGGCGAAAGCCUGAUGCAGCAACGCCGCGUGAGCGAUGAAGGUCUUCGGAUCGUAAAGCUCUGUCCUUGGGGAAGAUAAUGACGGUACCCUUGGAAGAAGCCCCGGCUAACUACGUGCCAGCAGCCGCGGUAAUACGUAGGGGGCAAGCGUUAUCCGGAUUUACUGGGUGUAAAGGGAGCGCAGGCGGCAGGGCAAGUCAGAUGUGAAAUACUGGGGCUCAACCCCGGGACUGCAUUUGAAACUGUCCGGCUAGAGUGCAGGAGAGGCAGGCGGAAUUCCUAGUGUAGCGGUGAAAUGCGUAGAUAUUAGGAGGAACACCAGUGGCGAAGGCGGCCUGCUGGACUGUAACUGACGCUGAGGCUCGAAAGCGUGGGGAGCAAACAGGAUUAGAUACCCUGGUAGU